rnacentral:rRNA from 1 species
AACGAACGCUGGCGGCGUGGAUAAGACAUGCAAGUCGAGCGGGACAUCUCGGGUAGCAAUAUUCGAGAUGUCUAGCGGCGAAAGGGUGCGUAACACGUGGGCAAUCUGCCAUGAAGUUCGGAAUAACUCGCUGAAAGGCGAGCUAAUGCCGGAUGUGAUCAUUGAGGGACAUCCUUUGAUGAUUAAAGCUGGGGACCGAAAGGCCUGACGCUUCAUGAUGAGCCCGCGGCCUAUCAGCUAGUUGGUGAGGUAACGGCUCACCAAGGCUAAGACGGGUAGCUGGUCUGAGAGGACGACCAGCCACACUGGAACUGAGACACGGUCCAGACACCUACGGGUGCAGCAGUCGAGAAUUUUUCACAAUGGGGGAAACCCUGAUGGAGCGACGCCGCGUGGGGGAUGAAUGGCUUCGGCCCGUAAACCCCUGUCAUUCGGGAUCAAUGCCUGCGGCCUAAUACGUUGCAGGUUGAUAGUACCGG